AAUUGUGCUAAAGGUUAGGACAUCAUAAUUUCCCUUAUGCUUGGAAUUGGUUGUCAUUGUAAUUUCUUGAGCCACGGCCAUGGCUUGUAUGAGAAUGUCUGCUAAAGGAUAGGUAAGGACAAUUUGCUAUUUUGAGUUGAAUAUCUGGUAAUUUAAUUAGACUUUUAACUGGCUUGAUUAUAACUCAACCUCGUUCAAGGAAUGAGGACAAACUCGUGUUAUUUUCACCAGAAGGUUCAUAGAAGUUAGAUUCUGCAGCUUCUGCUCAAGCAAUCCUUGGUUUAGUUUUGUUCAUUUUAUUUUGAUUUUGAUUUUGAUUAGUAAUAAUGCACAAGAUUUCAUUAUUUGUUUUUUUAAGAACUUGCUAGUAUUAAGAAAUUAUUCUUUGUCCUCAUAUUAAUCUGUUUCAACCCACCUGUAAUGGUUGCUCUGCUGGUAAUUAUUACUAAUGCAAUUCUCAUCUAGUGUUUUCUGUCCGUAGCUGUUUUUGGAAACGAGAAGUUAUUCAGCUUUGACGACUAGAGGUGUCGUAUGGUGUGCUUACAAGUGUGAGGUGGUUUAGUUUUGCUACAUUCACGCGUGGACCUUUUUUGUCUUGAUACAAUUUAUCAGAUACAAAUUAACUGCUGUUUACAGAUGUCGAUCAUUUAGGCAUCAUUCGGUAGUUGCAGCUAGAAUAGUUAUCUUUCUUUUGACGGGCACAUGAAGAAUUAUAAUUUAAAUCUGAUUAAUGUUAGGAUGAUUGUGUUUGACAAAACUGAAUGUUAAGAUCUCUG
rnacentral:lncRNA from 1 species